AUAUGUUGCUUGGUCUCCUGAUUCUUCCAGGUAUCUUGGCAGGACAAAAUCUGUUUCAAAACCCUGGACUUGAAAGCACCAAUAGUUGGACCUGCUCAGAUUGCAGUGGAUCACUGUCUUCAGACAAGCGAAGUGGUUCCCAUAGUUACCAUGUUGCUGGACGACAUCAUGACUUUUCUGGAGCGUCUCAAGAAGUUCAUGUUUCUGGUGGACAUUAUUAUUACUUUAAAGUGUGGGUAAAAAUCGACAAUACCGCAAAUGGAAAAUGGUAUCAUAAUGUUCAGGGCCAGAUCGAUAUUCUUCAUAACAAUGGACAACAUGAGUAUCAACAAGUUGGCGAAACAAAUUACGUUUUUCCUGGUAGGUGGUAUCUAGUUGGCGGAGAUCAUUAUGUUGCAGGAAACAUCAAGAGUAUUAGAUUUUAUGUUCAAAUUCCUGAAGCCGGAGUAAACUAUCAUAUUGAUGAUGCUCAAAUGGACGAAGUUGCUUAUUUAUCAAAUUUCGCCAAUGAAGCCAACCAAAGGAUUGACCAUCUUCGAAAAGCCAACUUGGCCA